rnacentral:rRNA from 1 species
CAGUAGCCGCGGUAAUACGAAGGGUGCAAGCGUUAAUCGGAAUUACUGGGCGUAAAGCGUGCGUAGGCGGUGAGUUAAGUCUGCUGUGAAAUCCCCGGGCUCAACCUGGGAAUGGCAGUGGAUACUGGCAAGCUAGAGUGUGUCAGAGGAUGGUGGAAUUCCCGGUGUAGCGGUGAAAUGCGUAGAGAUCGGGAGGAACAUCAGUGGCGAAGGCGGCCAUCUGGGACAACACUGACGCUGAGGCACGAAAGCGUGGGGAGCAAACAGGAUUAGAUACCCCCGUAGUCCCUGUCUCUUAUAC